UUUGUUAGUACUGAUUGGGGGUGAUUGUUGUGCUUCUUAUUAUCAAGUCUCCGUGGUUUUGUCGAAUUAUAUCAUGUUUGCUAUCAUCGAUGUGGUUUUGAUGUGGUUUUGUCGGAUUGAAGAACGCCAAUUCUGAAUAUGAUUCUUUAUGUGAUGAUGGCGAUUUUUGAAUCUUUUGAUCAAAUUCCUUUAUCCUUUUCAGCUGGUGACGGGGUCUCUGAGAUUUUUCUUCUACUUUCCUUUCUAUUAUUUGAUUUAUCUGGUAUUGAUCACGAAAAUAAGAAUUGGACUAUGAUUUGUUUAUCUGCAGUGGUGUAACACGUCUCUAUACUUCUUCCUUUUAUUAAGAGCUUAGUUCGUUUUCUUGAAUUUUUGGGUUGUACAGGGAAGACACACAAUGGAUGUGAAAUGAAGAUUAUGUUUUGUUACCCUUAACUUUUUUAUGGGUUUAUUCGUGACUGAUCAUUUGAUUUCGUAGUCUAACUUUGUGUUUAUGUUCACUCCCCUUCAGCAAUUGGAGUUUCUGAGAUUUGAAACCCUAAAAAGUUUAAAACGGUUGCAGCUCAGGAUAUCCCAAUUCUCUCUAUCUAUUGUUUAAUUUCUCUCUACUUGAUCUCCAAGGAUUGAAUUGUGUUCGACGUUUGAAUUAUUUUCCCUUAAUGUCCUGCAACAUCUCAUGGAGUAUGUUAUGAGGCCCCAAGGAUUGAAUUGGUGUUUGAAUUAUUUUCGCUUAAUGUCCUGCAGAGUAUGUUAUGAGACAUAAGGGUUGAAUUGUGAUUUGUUUCCUGUUUGGAUGAUUUGCACAGUGUCCUGCAUCUUAUAGAAUAUGAAUGACUUGGUUUUCGCACGGUUCUCGCGAGUAUGUUAUGGCCACCAUUCUUCCUUGGUUUUUUAAGUCUUCAAUUUAUCUUAUCAUUCUAUACUUCGUCCUCGAUUACCAGUUAUACUUUCUUCAAUUAUUGUUCUUUACAGGGGUGUGGGGGUAGGACAGGGAUCAAGUUCCUAUAACUAGUAAAUUCAUUUACGUGAAUUUUGAGUAUAAUUCUCUAUUUGAGUAUGAUGAGUUUUAUACCUUAUUGCUUAAAUUUCUUUUCAGCUGGUGGCUGGUUUUUUGGCAUUUCUUUUGCCUAUAGAUGAUAUGGAAAGCACACCGACCAAGGGCUCGACAUAACCUUAAGUCUUUUUUGAGUUUCCCUUAUAUUUUUUUUUAUGGUAUUACAAAAGGAUUGAACUAUGAUUUGUUUAUCUGCAGUGGUGUUUGGAUUAGUUGGGUAAUGUCACAUAUUCAACUUAUAAAGUUUCUGUAAUUAGUAAAUUCAUUUAGGUGAAUUCUGAGUACAAUUUUCUAUUUGAAGAUGACGAAUUUUAAACCUUUUGCAUAAAUUUCUUUGCACCUUUUCAGUUGGUGGCUGGUUCUCUGGCAUUUCUUUUGCCUAUGGAUGAUAUGAAAAGCACAAUAACCAAGGGGCUCGUCAUAACCUAAGUCUUUUUUGAGUUUUCCUUCUUUUUUUCUUUUUUCCUGGUAUUGUUCACAGUACAUAAGGAUUAAACUAUGGUUUGUUUAUUUGCAGUGGUGUUUGGAUUAGAUGGGUAACAACGCAUAUUCAUCGUAUCAAGUUUCUAUAACUAGUAAAUUCAUUUACGUCAAUUUUGACUAUAAUUUUCUAUUUGAGUAUGACGAGGAAAAUUACUUCAAUUUCUUUUCAUUUGACCAAGGGCUCAACAUAACCUUAAAUCUUUUUUGAGUUUCCCUUAUAUUUUUUUUAUGGUAUUACAUAAGGAUUGAACUAUGAUUUGUUUAUCUGCAGUGGUGUUUAGAUUAGUUGGGUAACGUGCAGAUUCAUUUUAUCAAGUUUCUAUAACUAGUAAAUUCAUUUACGUGAAUUUUGAGUAUAAUUAUCUAUUUGAGUAUGAUGAGUUUUAAACCUGUUGCGUAAAUUUCUUUUCAGCUGGUAGCUGGUUUUUUGGCAUUUCUGUUGCUUAUGGAUGAUAUGAAAAGCACAACAACCAAGGGCUAGACAUAACCUUAAGUCUUUUUUGAGUUUCCCUUCUAUUAUUUUUUUAUGGUUCUACAUAAGGAUUGAACUAUGAUUUGUUUAUCUGCAGUGGUGUUUUGGAUUAGUUGGGUAAAUUUCUUUGCUCCUUUUCAGCUGGAGUUCUCUGGCAUUUCUUUCUCCUAUGGAUGAUAUGAAAAGCAGAAGGACCAAGGGCCUCGACAUAACCUAUUUUUCUGCUACGGACUAUGAUUUGUUUAUCUGCAGUGGUGUAACACGUUUCUAUACUUCUUCCUUUUAUUAAGAGCUUAGUUCGUUUUCUUGAUUUUUUUGCUGUAUAGGUAGUUCGUUUUCUUGAAUUUUUGGGCUAUACAGGGAAGGCACGGAAUGGAUGUGAAAUGAAGUAUUAUGUUUUGUUACCUUUAAGUCUUUUUUGAGUUUCCCUUCUAUUAUUUUUUUAUGGUUUUACAUAAGGAUUGAACUAUGAUUUGUUUAUCUGCAGUGGUGUUUUGGAUUAGUUGGGUAACGUUGCAUAUUCUUCUUAUCAAGUUUCUAUAAUUAGUAAAUUCAUUUAGGUCUAUAUGAGGAUGACGAGUUUUGAACCUUCUGCGUAAAUUUCUUUGCACCUUUUCAGCUGGAGUUCUCUGGCAUUUAUUUCUCCUAUGGAUGAUAUGAAAAGCAGAAGGAUCAAGGGGCUCGACAUAACCUAAGUCUUUUUUGAGUUUUAUUUCUUCUUUUUUUUCCUGGUAUUUAUGACAGUACAUAAGGAUUGAACUAUGAUUUGUUUAUCUGCAGUGGUGUUUGGAUUAGUUGGAUAACGACGCAUAUUCAUCUUACAAGUUUCUAUAACUAGUAAAUUCAUUUACGUGAAUUUUGAGUAUAAUUCUCUAUUUGAGUGUGACGAGUUUUAAACCUUUUGCCUAUCUGGUAUUGAUCACGAAAAUAAGGAUUGGACUAUGAUUUGUUUAUCUGCAGUGGUGUAACACGUCUCUAUACUUCUUCCUUUUAUUAAGAGCUUAGUUCGUUUUCUUGAAUUUUUGGGUUGUACAGGGAAGACACACAAUGGAUGUGAAAUGAAGAUUAUGUUUUGUUACCCUUAACUUUUUUAUGGGUUUAUUCGUGACUGAUCAUUUGAUUUCGUAGUCUAACUUUGUGUUUAUGUUCACUCCCCUUCAGCAAUUGGAGUUUCUGAGAUUUGAAACCCUAAAAAGUUUAAAACGGUUGCAGCUCAGGAUAUCCCAAUUCUCUCUAUCUAUUGUUUAAUUUCUCUCUACUUGAUCUCCAAGGAUUGAAUUGUGCUCGACUAUUUUACCUUAAAGUCCUGCAGCAUCUCAUGGAGUGUGUUAUGAGGCCCUAAGGGUUGAAUUGGUGUUUGAAUUAUUUUCGCCUAAUGUCCUGCAGAGUAUGUUAUGAGAUUUAAGGGUUGAAUUGUGAUUUGUUUCCUGUUUGGAUGAUUUGCAUAGUGUCCUGCAUCCUAUGGAAUAUGUAUGGUUUUCGCACGGUCAUCGCGAGUAUGUUAUGGCCACCAUCUUCCUUGGUUAUUUAAGUCUUCAAUUUAUCUUAUCGUUCUAUAGUUCAUCCUUGAUUACCAGUUAUACUUUGUUGAAUUAUUGUUCUUCACAGGGAUGUGUGGGGGUAGGACAGGGAUGUGUGGGUAGGACUUUCCUCGUGGUUGGUUGAAAAUGAUGGAUGAGUCAUGCUUGACGGUAUGAAAAACACAAUGACAAAGGGCUCGACAUAACCUAAGUCUUUUUUGAGUUUUCCUUAUAUUUUUUCUUUUUCCUGUUAUUGAUCACAGUACAUAAGGAUAUGAUUUGUUUAUCUGCAGUGGUGUUUGGAUUGGUUACGAUGCAUAUUCAUCUUACAAGUGGUGGCUGGUUUUUUGGCAUUUCUUUUACCUAUGGAUUAUAUGAAAAGCACAACGACCAAGCAUUUCUAUUAUUUUUAUGGUAUUACAUAAGGAUUGAACUAUGAUUUGUUUAUAUGCAGUGGUGUUUGGAUUAGUUGUGUAACGUCUAUGUUCAUCGAAUCAAGUUUCUGUAAUUAGUAAAUUCAUUUAGGUGAAUUCUGAGUAUAAUUCUCUAUUUGAGGAUGACGAGUUUUAUCCUUUUGCAUAAAUUUCUUCUCACCUUUUCAGUUGGUGGCUGGUUCUCUGGCAUUUCUUUUGGCUAUGGAUGAUAUGAAAAGCACAACGACCAAGGGGCUCGACAUAACCUUCAAGUCUUUUUUGAGUUUUCCUUCUAUUUUUCUUUAUCCCGGUAUUGAUCACAAUACAUAAGGAUAUGAUUUGUUUAUCUGCAGUGGUGCUUGGAUUAGUUGGGUAACGUAGCAUAUUCAUCUUAUCAAAUUUCUAUAAUUAGUAAAUUCAUUUAGGUGAAUUCUGAGUAUAAUUCUCUAUUUGAGGAUGAAGAGUUUUGAACCUUUCGCAUAAAUUUUUUUUCACCUUUUCAGCUGGUGGCUGGUUCUCUGGCUUUUUUUUUGCCUAUGGUGAUAUGAAGAGAACAACGACCAAGGGCUCAACAUAACCUAAGUCUUUUUUUAGUUUUGCUUCUAUUAUUUAUAUUUUCUGGUAUUGAUCACCUACCACAAGGAUUGUAAUAUGUUUUUUUUUAUCUGCAGUGGUGUUUGUGUAACGUCGCAUAUUCAUCUUAUCAACUUUCUAUACUUCCUCCCUCUUAUUAGCGAUUAUCUUUUCCUUCAAUUUUUGGACUGUACAGGGUUUAUCGUUUCCUUCAGUUAAAUUCGGUUUUCGUGUUCAUUCCUUUUCAGCAAGUCCCGAGUCUGAGAUUUCUUUUGGCGGUUGAGGAACUAGAGUUUAGAAUGGUUGCACAUCAGGAUAUCCUAAUUUCUCAAUGAGUGUAUCCUCUAUUAUUUUAUUUAAUCUCAGCAGCGGUGUUUAGAUGAUUUUUGCUUAUUGUACUUCAUCUCAUGAGUGUGUUAGGAGGGCGACAGUGUCUCCCUUAAUUUUUUGAUUUAUCUAAUCAUCCGUUAUAGAUUUGUUGUAUUAUUGUUCUUUAGGGAUGUGUGGGCUUAUAGUUUUGUUGAAUUAUUGUUCUUUACAGGGAUGUGUUGGGUAGGACGUGGAAACCAUGUCGGGAUAUUUCUUGAACUGUGAAUCAUUCGUUUUUUUUCCUACUCUUACACUAGUUUUUUCUAUUGCAUUAGUUUGUAUUUGGCCAACCUUGUUGGUUCGAUUUUUAUUUUUUCUUCUUAGGCAUAACCAAAUAAAUAUUGGAGGGCUAAUGAAUGUCCUAUUUUAACAUAUGAUCACGACAAAUGGUCUCUUGGCAGCUUGAUUUUAUGAUCCGUGUCUCUAUGCACUGUGACCUUAGGCACUUUGGUGGUCUCAGGCCUAGAUAAAUUGAAAAGAAGUAUCUUGGAGUCAUUCCCUUCAUUUUAGUAGUGGUAAUUAGCAAGAGCUCAGGACUAUUUGGCUCCAAUUUUUUUAUUACAAAACUUUAUUUUGUCUUAGUUUUCUUUUUUUGACAAAUGAAUUUUCGGAAACAGUGAAUGGAGGUCCAGUGAAACUUUAGGUUUUAUUAUCUUUGCAUUCAUUAUUAUUUUCUUUGCGGUUAUUCUUUUGGCUAACCUUGUGGCUAAACAUGUAGAGUGGCAGUUCUUGUAAACAGGCACUAUAUGAGUAUGAUAGGCUUUGACAUUUGUUUUGUUGUGCCUUCGAUUAUCUUCUUCUACUUGGGUUGCAGUGACUUACUAUGAGCGGUUCCCAUGGUUUUCAAUUUUUGAAUUUACCUUAACUUUUCUUUACUCUGUCAUGUCAUGCUUUUAAGAAAAUUAGUUUUCUCAAAUCCCCAUGCUUCUGGUUGAGCUUUUACAGGAAAACUAUAGAUAUAUGGGGCAGGUUUCGGAAAUAAUUAUUGGACUUUACAGGGAAUUCAUGGGCUACCCAAAAUGAGGUGUGAAUUAUGUGAUAUGUGAAGCUCAAUGUUUUUAUUAACGGUACAUUGUAGUAUCUGAAUUAAUUUUUAACUGGCUCAACUUGUUGGUUUGAUUAUAAUCUUGGUUGUAUUUUGAUGGUGUAUGGUUCAUAAGUGGCAUUGUGAGCAUGGGACAAGUGCGGUUGGACUUUAUUUUUUGAUUUGAUAGUUUGCUUCUUGGUUUGAAAAGUUUAGGAUUUAGGGUUUAUUUGACGCCUUUUGGAUAAUCCUCUGAUAUAGGUCUUUGGCUCUUUAUUAGUUUUCCAAACCUUUGAUUCAUUAUUCUUGAUGAGUAAGCAUAUGGGUUGAGUUGUUGAGGUAUGAAUUUGUUUGAAAUUGUUUCAUGUCCCUGGAGUCUUAUUUUGACUGACAGCAAUGUCUCUUACUAUGAAUGACAGUAAUCUCUGAGCCUAUUAUGUGUAUGGAAAUUUUUGAAGUCAGUAUAAUAAUAUCUCACAACUUUGGUCACAUUUCUAUUUUACAUAUAAAUUAUUAACAAAGGGAGGAGAUAAAACAAGUUGUUAUGUAGUAGUAGAAUCUAUUUCUCUUUGAAAUUAUUGUUAAGGACCUACGAGUCAAGUUUUUAUAUUUAAUUUUUUUCCUAUACCAGUCAAUGAUAUAACUCAGCCGUGAAUCUUGAUCAUUCCUUUCUAUAUAUAUACCCAAUAUCUGUUUUGUUGGUAUUGCUUCAGUUAUUGUUGUGAUUCUUUACAAGGUUUUGUGGAAUUACAUGAUGUUUGUGUCGUGGGAUAGAAGAAUUAUUAAGAAUUAUUAGUAAACCGCUUCAUGAAAUUUGAUAUUAGUUUUUUUUUUUCCUUUUUAAAAUGCAGAGGUUUCAAUAUUCAUCAAAUUAAAUGCAUUAGUCAAAUGUUAAAUGCAAUAGUCACAUGGUUUUUAUAAUAAAAUUUAAAUAUAAUAAUAAUAUUAUAUGUAUAUAUAUAUUAUUUUUUAUUAUUG
rnacentral:lncRNA from 1 species